UUCAUAAUAACUUAACGAAUCGCAUGGCCCUUGCGCUGGCGAUGGUUCAUUCAAAUUUCUGCCCUAUCAACUUUCGAUGGUAGGAUAGUGGCCUACCAUGGUCUCAACGGGUAACGGGGAAUUAGGGUUCUAUUCCGGAGAGGGAGCCUGAGAAACGGCUACCACAUCCAAGGAAGGCAGCAGGCGCGCAAAUUACCCAAUCCCAAUUCGGGGAGGUAGUGACAAUAAAUACUGAUACAGGGCUCUUUUGGGUCUUGUAAUUGGAAUGAGUACAAUCUAAAUCCCUUAACGAGGAACAAUUGGAGGGCAAGUCUGGUGCCAGCAGCCGCGGUAAUUCCAGCUCCAAUAGCGUAUAUUAAAGUUGUUGCCGUUAAAAAGCUCGUAGUUGAACCUUGGGUCUGGCUGAUCUGUCCUCCUAAUCGAGCGCACGGAUUCGGUCGGACCUUUCCUUCUGGGGAGCCGCAUGCCCUUCACUGGGCGUGUCGGGGAACCAGGACUUUUACCUUGAAAAAAUUAGAGUGUUCAAAGCAGGCCUUUGCUCGAAUACAUUAGCAUGGAAUAAUAGAAUAGGACAGAGGUUCUAUUUUGUUGGUUUCUAGGACCGCUGUAAUGAUUAAUAGGGAUAGUCGGGGGCGUCCGUAUUCAAUUGUCAGAGGUGAAAUUCUUGGAUUUAUUGAAGACGAACUACUGCGAAAGCAUUCGCCAAGGAUGUUUUCAUUAAUCAGUGAACGAAAGUUAGGGGAUCGAAGACGAUCAGAUACCGUCGUAGUCUUAACCAUAAACUAUGCCGACUAGGGAUCGGACGGUGGUUUUUUUAUGCCCCGUUCGGCACCUUACGA
rnacentral:rRNA from 1 species